CCUGGGUAGCUGCGGGAAUGGACGGUGCUGUCACCGUGGCGACGGCAGCUGGGCGAGGUCCAGAACAAUCCUGGAAGUCGGAGGGCAGCCAGGGCCCCAGAAGGACCCCUGUUAUCAAAGCUGCGAGCGGAUUUGAGGACCCAGUGGAGAAUGAAGAGGCCCAGAUCCAAGCUGACUAAUUUUGGCUACGGGAGGAAAUGCAGACCGAUUUCUACUCUGCAGAAACAGAGUGUGGGACAGAAACAGGACGUGUGUCCCCAGUGCCGGGCUGCGAAUGGGAGUGAUGGCUGCUCCUUUUGCCUUUGGUUUCUACACAUCAGCUAAUUCCCCAUCAUGCCCCAGGAAUGGAGGCGUAGAGAAUGACCAGGGCUGCAGUGCGGAGGAACGUGUAAUACAGGGGUCCGAUGGCACAGGCCCCUGACCUGAACCGUUGGUCCUCAGAGGAAACAGCAUGGAGAGAUGGUGGGCCGGAAGGCGCAGAGAGACCAGAGGGUCACAAGACCUGUUUCCCACUUGUUCCUGAAGCCGAGAUCCAGGAAGAGCUUUGAGAGUCUCUACCCACUCAUUUCCAGAUUUCCCAGGGUCUACGAGGUCUAACAGAGAGGAUCCUCAGUUUUCCCAGAUCCUGGAAACAAAAUCUCUAAAAAAAUCACCAACUUUUUUU